rnacentral:lncRNA from 1 species
UUUCAUUUAACUAUAUGGCGUCUAGCUCUCAAAUUAUCAGCACAAUCAACAACACAAUUAACAACAGCGACAACAAACUCAAUAUAAUCCCACAAGUGAAAUCCGGAGAGGACAGAAUGAACGGAGACAAAUUGAUUAUCAGCAUAAUUAAUAGGCAUAAAAAUCAGAUUAGCUCUUCCAUUAUCUAUACAACCUAUAAUUAAUCCAAACACAGGGCAAUUCAAAAAUAAUACAUUGCAACAAAAGAUUUAGAAUUUAGCAUAAAAAAUACAGCUCACAAACAAAUUAGUGCACAGAAAAGUAAAAAUGUAGAGAAAUUGAAGAAGGAAAAUGUCCUAUCAGAGUAACUAUGACAAAAAAAGCUUCAUUUGGAUGUUAAUCCAUAGCCUUAUUUCAAGUCAUCAUCAUUUAGGAUCAUGUUCCAAUACUUGCUGCACAUAAAAAAGAAUUAAAAAAAAAAGGACAGUUCAAUGCACUAUAAUACACAAAACCAAAAAUAAAAAUCAAGCAACUGCAAUACAAUCAAUUCAAUUUAACUAAGGGAAUAGCGAAGACAGGUGUGAAAGGUAAGGUGGCUAGUUGAAAUCACAGAUGAAUGGUGCUAGGGGUUG